UAGACCAGUGAUGAGAAUCUGUCAUGAACCAAGGAGUAUUAUUAAUCUAAUUUUGUUUACCUGAGAGUU
rnacentral:snoRNA from 10 species